CCUACGGGUGGCAGCAGUGAGGAAUAUUGGUCAAUGGCCGUAAGGCUGAACCAGCCAAGUCGCGUGAAGGAAGAAGGAUCUAUGGUUUGUAAACUUCUUUUAUAGGGGAAUAAAGGUAUCCACGUGUGGAUAUUUGCAUGUACCCUAUGAAUAAGCAUCGGCUAACUCCGUGCCAGCAGCCGCGGUAAUACGGAGGAUGCGAGCGUUAUCCGGAUUUAUUGGGUUUAAAGGGUGCGUAGGUUGUUUUUUAAGUCAGCGGUGAAAGUUUGCGGCUCAACCAUAAAAUUGCCAUUGAAACUGGAAGUCUUGAGUGUAGUUGAGGUAGGCGGAAUUCGUGGUGUAGCGGUGAAAUGCAUAGAUAUCACGCAGAACUCCGAUUGCGAAGGCAGCUUACUAAGCCAUAACUGACACUGAAGCACGAAAGCGUGGGGAGCAAACAGGAUUAGAUACCCUGGUAGUC
rnacentral:rRNA from 1 species